UUCUAUGAAUCGUUGAAGUUGCUUAUUGUAAGCGGUGUUUGUUUGACAGGUAAGUGGCUAGUUUCAGUAAAAAUAAAAAUUUUCUAUUUCCUAGGUUUGGCAGUUUUGGUACAUUUCAAAUUCAUGUUGGCAUUAGCACCACAGAAGAAAAAAAUUUACUUGGAAGGAAAGGUGGUUACUUUCAAGGAGAAUCAUGAAACUAGAGCAUGAUUUACCAUGAACCAUUUGGGAAUCAACUUGUUAGCUGCCUUAUAACUAUCAUCCUUCUGAUGAAAUAACAGCAUUACAGCUGUUAGUUACGUCAAGAGAAUUAAUCUCAAGAUGCAAGUACUGAGCUUUAACGGAUUUCAAUUUACAGAAGCAAGACAUCCAAUUCUGUUGUUGAGGAGAAAACCAACUACACACCCAGCUAUGAAUGGACACAUGUGUGUUUAUAAAAUCCCAUACGUUGUUAGAAAUUUCAUCGCGUACAACUACAACUCGAAAGAAGAGUCACCUAUCCCAAUAAACAACUGUUAAAGAAGAAAAAUAAGGUGAUGCAUUUUGUUUCGUUUACGAGAACUUAAAUUUUACUUGGUUUAUUGCUUAGUUAAUAUUUACAGAAAAAUAUUGAUUGUUAAACAUUUAAAAUGAAAUACAAGCUUUUUUUUUUACAGUCCCUUAUUUAUUCGGUAAGUAAUGUUUUCAAUUAUGUUUGACUAACCUGAGCCGGUACUUCUUCAUUUGCCGCCUUCCGUGCCAUAAAAUCCCGUGACCCUAAAGCAAAGGUCUUAGUCAUUGGUGAAGAAAACCACUUGCCUUACAUGAAGCCACCACUAUCGAAAGAACUGUGGUUCAGUGACGAUCCCGAAGUGUCAAACAAACUAAAGUUUAAGCAGUGGAACAGAAAAGAGUGAAGUUUGUUCUUCGAACAGGAUGAAUUCUACUGCAGUCCCGUGGAAUUAGUUGCCAAAGAAAAUGGUGGCGUUUCAGUUGUGUGAGGACAUCUUGUAGUUAAACUGGACAUUGUUGGUCGCAAAGCUGAGUUAAAUGACGGCCAUACCAUCACCUACGACAAGUGCCUUAUUGCCACAGGUGGCAAACCGAAAUCGGUACCAUCGCUGAGCAGUGCCCCAGAAAAUGUCCAGGAGCACGUAACACUAUUCCAUAUUAUUGAUUUCCAUGAUAUCAAUAUUGGAUAUGGAUCACGGGAUCUCAUGUUGAAGGCGAGGGGGAGGAGAACACCCAAUCCGUUAGAAAGCUGAAAAAAGAAAUGACCGUCGAAGAAAGGCACUUAAUCCGUGCCCAUAAGCUACAACUCAUCGAAUCGGACUUUUAUAAGCAUGCCAGCAUUAAUGAAACGGCGCGGACGCUAGAUCUUGAUCUCGAUGUCGUUGUCGUUGAUCAAAUUUUCAACUUUUGGGUUCUUAAACGAAAGUCCAACCGAGACAGACCAUUGCUACCGCCCAAAACCACUGAAACGGAAAGAUUAAGUCAGCAACAACAGCAAGAUAUGGAACUUAUGAAAUUGUUUUUACAGCUACGACAAGACCUAGAGAGGGUUCGAAAUUUGUGUUACAUGGUCAGCCGAAGAGAGAAAUUAUCACGAUCGUAUUUUCGAUUGCGAGAACAAACUUUCCACAAGCAACAGCGAUUUUGUCUCUGUCUGAUCUCCAAAAAGUAUCACCCCAGCAGAACUGACGCCAAUCAUGGCUCCAAUGUCUAUGACCUUGUAUAUUUACGUGGGGAAACGAUCAAAAAAGAAGGCUUUGAACAAGUCAUUCAACUCAUAGCAGGCCUACAGUCGAACAUCCCCGCAAUGAAAAAGGAUAAAAAUGGAAUCGUUGGUCGUCCCAAUCAUUUAAAGGAAGACAACCCAUACAAACGCACGUACAUGAAUGGGGGCGAAAGUCGUUGAUUCCGCUCGCUAUCUUCCAUCAGUGCCGAAUCGGCUGCCUCUGAUACUGAAACAAACAGUAGAUGGAAGAGACCGGUGAGAACACCUUCGCAAACAUCAAUUACCUCGGUCGACAACGAUUUCGAUGUAGCCAUUACACAGCUUGGUUCCAAAAAAGCCGGUUCGAAAACUAGUGAUAGAGCUGGCAAGUUCAUUUACACCGUCAGUGAAGAAGAAGCGGGACCUUUUAGGCUUUUGAUGUUACCUGCUAAAUUUUUGUUUAAUUGUUUGUAUUUUGUAAAAAUAAAUGUAAAUCAAUUACCAAAAA